rnacentral:rRNA from 1 species
GAUGAACGCUGGCGGCGUGCUUAACACAUGCAAGUCGAACGGGGAAGGCGGAGCUUGCUCUGCUGGAUCAGUGGCGAACGGGUGAGUAACACGUGAGCAAUCUGCCCCUGACUCUGGGAUAAGCGCUGGAAACGGCGUCUAAUACUGGAUACGAGCUGCGAAGGCAUCUUCAGCAGCUGGAAAGAAUUUCGGUCAGGGAUGAGCUCGCGGCCUAUCAGCUUGUUGGUGAGGUAAUGGCUCACCAAGGCGUCGACGGGUAGCCGGCCUGAGAGGGUGACCGGCCACACUGGGACUGAGACACGGCCCAGACUCCUACGGGAGGCAGCAGUGGGGAAUAUUGCACAAUGGGCGGAAGCCUGAUGCAGCAACGCCGCGUGAGGGACGACGGCCUUCGGGUUGUAAACCUCUUUUAGCAGGGAAGAAGCGAAAGUGACGGUACCUGCAGAAAAAGCGCCGGCUAACUACGUG